rnacentral:rRNA from 1 species
GGCCGUGGCGCGGCUACCAUGCAGUCGAGCGGCAGCGGAAAGUAGCUUGCUACUUUGCCGGCGAGCGGCGGACGGGUGAGUAAUGUCUGGGAAACUGCCUGAUGGAGGGGGAUAACUACUGGAAACGGUAGCUAAUACCGCAUAACGUCGCAAGACCAAAGAGGGGGACCUUCGGGCCUCUUGCCAUCAGAUGUGCCCAGAUGGGAUUAGCUAGUAGGUGGGGUAACGGCUCACCUAGGCGACGAUCCCUAGCUGGUCUGAGAGGAUGACCAGCCACACUGGAACUGAGACACGGUCCAGACUCCUACGGGAGGCAGCAGUGGGGAAUAUUGCACAAUGGGCGCAAGCCUGAUGCAGCCAUGCCGCGUGUAUGAAGAAGGCCUUCGGGUUGUAAAGUACUUUCAGCGGGGAGGAAGGCGUUGAGGUUAAUAACCUCAGCGAUUGACGUUACCCGCAGAAGAAGCACCGGCUAACUCCGUGCCAGCAGCCGCGGUAAUACGGAGGGUGCAAGCGUUAAUCGGAAUUACUGGGCGUAAAGCGCACGCAGGCGGUCUGUCAAGUCGGAUGUGAAAUCCCCGGGCUCAACCUGGGAACUGCAUUCGAAACUGGCAGGCUAGAGUCUUGUAGAGGGGGGUAGAAUUCCAGGUGUAGCGGUGAAAUGCGUAGAGAUCUGGAGGAAUACCGGUGGCGAAGGCGGCCCCCUGGACAAAGACUGACGCUCAGGUGCGAAAGCGUGGGGAGCAAACAGGAUUAGAUACCCUGGUAGUCCACGCCGUAAACGAUGUCGACUUGGAGGUUGUGCCCUUGAGGCGUGGCUUCCGGAGCUAACGCGUUAAGUCGACCGCCUGGGGAGUACGGCCGCAGGUUAAAACUCAAUGAAUUGACGGGGGCCCGCACAAGCGUGGAGCAUGUGGUUUAUUCGAUGCAACGCGAGAACCUUACCUACUCUUGACAUCCAGAGAACUUUCCAGAGAUGGAUUGGUGCCUUCGGGAACUCUGAAACAGGUGCUGCAUGGCUGUCGUCAGCUCGUGUUGUGGAAUGUUGGGUUAAGUCCGCACGAGCGCACCCUUAAUCUUUUGUUGCCGCGGUCCGGCGGGAACUCAAGG